rnacentral:rRNA from 1 species
AAAGUCUGACCGAGCAACGCCGCGUGAGUGAAGAAGGUUUCGGAUCGUAAAGCUCUGUUGUAAGUCAAGAACGUGUGUGAGAGUGGAAAGUUCACACAGUGACGGUAGCUUACCAGAAAGGGACGGCUAACUACGUGCCAGCAGCCGCGGUAAUACGUAGGUCCCGAGCGUUGUCCGGAUUUAUUGGGCGUAAAGGGAGCGCAGGCGGUCAGGAAAGUCUGGAGUAAAAGGCUAUGGCUCAACCAUAGUGUGCUCUGGAAACUGUCUGACUUGAGGUGCAGAAGGGGAGAGUGUAAUUCCAUGUGUAGCGGUGAAAUGCGUAGAUAUAUGGAGGAACACCAGUGGCGAAAGCGGCUCUCUGGUCUGUCACUGACGCUGAGGCUCGAAAGCGUGGGUAGCGAACAGGAUUAGAUACCCUGGUAGUCCACGCCGUAAACGAUGAGUGCUAAGUGUUAGGCCCUUUCCGGGGCUUAGUGCCGGAGCUAACGCAAUAAGCACUCCGCCUGGGGAGUACGAACGCAAGGUUGAAACUCAAAGGAAUUGACGGGGGCCCGCACAAGCG